UACGUAGGGGGCAAGCGUUAUCCGGAUUUACUGGGUGUAAAGGGAGCGUAGACGGCGAUGCAAGUCUGAAGUGAAAGCCCGGGGCUCAACCCCGGGACUGCUUUGGAAACUGUAUGGCUGGAGUGCUGAAGAGGCAAGCGGAAUUCCUAGUGUAGCGGUGAAAUGCGUAGAUAUUAGGAAGAACACCAGUGGCGAAGGCGGCUUGCUGGACAGUAACUGACGUUGAGGCUCGAAAGCGUGGGGAGCAAACAGG
rnacentral:rRNA from 1 species